UACGAAGGGGGCUAGCGUUGCUCGGAAUGACUGGGCGUAAAGGGCGCGUAGGCGGUUUGUACAGUCAGAUGUGAAAUUCCUGGGCUUAACCUGGGGGCUGCAUUUGAUACGUGCAGACUUGAGUGAGGAAGAGGGUUGUGGAAUUCCAGGUGUAGCGGUGAAAUGCGUAGAUAUCUGGAGGAAUACCGGUGGCGAAGGCGGCAUCCUGGACCGACAUUGACGCUGAGGAGCGAAAGCUAGGGGAGCAAACGGG
rnacentral:rRNA from 1 species